AGCACAGUGGUGCAUUGGGUAGCACUGCCGCCUUACAGCAAGAGGUCUCGGGUUCGAAUCCAGCCUGGGGUC